rnacentral:SRP_RNA from 1 species
GCUGGGUGUGGUGGCUCACGCCUGUAAUCCUAGCACUUUGGGAGGCUGAGGUGGGUGGAUCACCUGAGGUCAGGAGUUUGAGACCAGCCUGGCCAACAUGGUGAAACCCCGUCUCUA